GCACUUUAGCUCCUGAUGUGGACACUGUCAGAAGUCAAAACUACCUAACCCAUAAUUGGUGACAGUAUUUUGGGGCCCCUUAAACUCUUAGACUACGUAAACUCUAAAAAAUGGUACGUCAGGCUGAAGCCGAGGAAUUCCUCUUGAAACACCUUACGAAGAUAUCCAGUGACUUCAAGUGUGCAAUUGGCUUAAUAAUCGGGCAGGCAAAUGCCCACAAGUUUAAUGUGGUCCAUUUGGCGAGGACGCCGACCUCCGAUAGCAACGAUGACCAAACGCCCCCAAAUCACAUUGCCAGUAUUGUUGAGGUGAAUCAGGCGUGGGUGGUUGAUCAUGCCAGGCAAACGCUUAGAAUGUUGUCUGGAGGCAUGUACGUGCUGGGAGUUUUCGUCGUUGGCGACGAGGAGAUUUUCAACCCAUUCCAUCCGAAAAUAAAGUCCAUUCUGACUGGCAUCAAUAAGACUCUUCAAGCGGACAAGUAUUUGUUUGGGGGCGAUUUCAGCGAGAAAUUGGUGCUGAGCUUCGCUCCCAAAAGCCAGCGCUGGGCAGCCAGAGCCUAUGACGUGGCCAGCGCCAACGUGCAGCCUGUUGACUGGAAAUUUCUACCGAAAGCAACCAAAUUUAUUGUCUUCGAGUGCACUUAUCAAAUCCAGCAUGUUUAUCACCUGAAGACGGGCGAAGCCGAUGGGCCUUUGAAGAGCCAUGUUAAGGCGAUCCUAGACGACAUCGAGCACAAUCUGCAAUCAGCAGUCCUGCUGUUCGACAACGACCUGAAGGACGCGGAUGAGAAGCUGGAAAAUGUGGGCAAAAAGAAGAAAACUCCCAGGACUAAUUCCAGCAAGUCCGCUCCAGAGCAGGCCGAAGCCCCAGCUAAGCCUGUGGCUGUUUCAAUAUUCGAGAAAUGUUUGGCGCUCAAGCCCCUCAACUCGCUUCAUCAGGCAGAGUUUGAGGGCGACAUUCGAGUGGAAGGCGAAGUGAUCAGCAAGCUCUGGCUGAACCCUAAGGGGACCUUUGGGGAGGCCAUGCAGGCUGUUAGGGAGGAUAUCAUGAGGAGUCUGGCCACGCGAAUGGAAUUACACUGGGACUCUUUGAUCGAGGAGGAGCUGCGAGAAGAUGUGAACAGCGUCCACGAGCCCCCCAGGAGGGCGCUGAUCGCUCUGCCCGACAGCAACGUUGGCGUGUCCGAUUACCUUUUUUCAGGUGAAGCCCCUGAAGACGCCAAAUUUUCCUUACAGGAACUGUUCGGUGUCAAGACAGACGACAGUUUAGAGGUGUUGGAUUUGGAGGCGCAAGCAGAUAUCGCCCUGCUAUAUGAUGCCAACGCUACUGCACAUGAAGCUGACCAAGUUGACUCAAAGAGCGCAUCGGAUUCCAAUCCCCGCAGAUCUCGACAAGAGUUGGCACAUUCCCAGACCCACACUAGCUCGAAGCUCCCACAGUUCGCAGGGCUCCACGUCCAGCAAUAACAGCAGCCAGAGUGCCAAAUCAGGCUCGCAAUUGCUGACAGCGACCAAUCUAGCCCAGAUUCAUCAGGAUGAAGAGAAGCUUAGUGCUCGCGACAUCAACAUCCAGUACUAUCUGGAUCAGGCGAACAAAACCAGCGAACUGAUCGCCGCUCUGCCCAAAGCGUGCAAACAGCCCGAACCCGACAACGUUUCGAUAGCAAGUUCCAUGCACUUCACCGUGGUCAACAUGAAUUCGCGACCACCCCGGGUACCGAAGAGGAGCUGCUGUCGAAAGCACCAGCUUACCAUCUUGGUACUCAGCAUGUCCGCCCUAUUCACCAUUGGAAUACUGGCCGCCAUUUACGUAAUGGAAAUGAGGGCUCGCGACCAAAGAAGAUACUGACCCCAGCCAAAUAAUCCCAGUAGUUUAAGUGGAGAAGCAAUCCAGCAGUGGCAUUACUUAAAUGAAGAUCUACUGAUUAGUGUGCGCCCCAGUGUCAUCAACUAGGUUAUUCCAAAUAGUUCCAAAUAGUAUGUGCCAUCUUACACUGUUCUUGUGAAUGACUGCAAGCCAAGCCCUCAUUGUUAGAAACCAGAACGUCCAACUUGCCACUGCGGCUUUCAAUCAUUCACAAAGACACUGUUCUCAACACGCACCUGCCGGCCUUUAAUCACUGCCUUUUUCUUUAAAAUUUAAACUACAAGCGCAACUACACUUAAAAACUUCUUAGUUACUAGUUUUUAAGCAAUUUAGGUUACAAGUAGCCGAAAUACAAACAGGGAGUAGGAGUCCGCUUGUUGGACCAAUAGUGGGGAAUCUCCCAGUGAAAUGUAUGUAAAAACCCACCCUCUUGUUUAUAUACAGAGCGUUGGUGGCUACACAGACAGUGUUCCUGUGAUACUUAGGUAAAACAUCGAUGUAGGGACUUUUUAGCUUAAUUGUACAGUAUUUAUAAUUAUUUAUGUAUCAGGGCUGCCAUGUAGCAGAAUUCUGGAAAGUAAUUAGAUAGUGAAAUCGA
rnacentral:misc_RNA from 1 species